GGGCCACUUCCACAAAGCCCGAAACCAUUAACAAAACCCUAGCGGCACCCUCGAGCUGGCGCGACCGUGCGCCGCACCGUCGUCGUUCCCCGAGACCCCCUGAUCGACCCACGCGCGCACACCCGCACCCAGGCCCGAUCCCCCGCCGCAACUCCGCCUCCCGUUCGUCUCUAGUCCUCGCCGCCUCCUGCUACGGGCGCGGAGUGGAGUGGAGAAGGAGAUCCGAUUGAUUUCUUCGUUCGUUGUCUCCUUUUCUGCAAAUUCAUAAUCACUGAUGGGGAAAGCAAAGCGUGCCUCAAUCUUCAUCAGGCUGGUUUCUGCAGCUGGUACUGGGUUCUUCUAUGUGAAGCGCAAGAAUCCUCGGCGGAUCACUGAGAAGCUUGAAUUUAGGAAGUAUGAUCCCCGUGUGAACAAGCAUGUUCUGUUUACAGAAGCAAAGAUGAAGUGAUAUCUUCUACCUCCACAAUACAGAACAGGAAUAGGUUGUCGCCUUUUGCAAUUAGAAAUCUCUUGUACUGUUAAGGAUGUAGCCCAACAUUGUCCUGUUCUGAUUUCCAGAGUUCCAUUUAGAUAACUGAAGUGGGUAUGUGAUUUAAGGAUUUUAUGUGUUCUUCCUGUCUGUUUUGUUGCUCGAGUGAGCUGCUGACCUGCGAACGGCUUGUAGUUUUUUAAUCAUUUCCUUUUGAGGUACGAAACUAUAAUCAUCUCCUGGUGAAGGAAAUUCCAAGUUAGUAUCUGCACUUUUCAA